UACGUAGGGGUGCGAGCGUUUGUCCGGAAUUAUUGGGCGUAAAGAGCUUGUAGGCGGUUUGUCGCGUCUGCUGUGAAAAUCCGGGGCUCAACCCCGGACUUGCAGUGGGUACGGGCAGACUAGAGUGUGGUAGGGGAGACUGGAAUUCCUGGUGUAGCGGUGAAAUGCGCAGAUAUCAGGAGGAACACCGAUGGCGAAGGCAGGUCUCUGGGCCACUACUGACGCUGAGAAGCGAAAGCAUGGGGAGCGAACAGG
rnacentral:rRNA from 1 species